UCCUUUUUGCAUUUCCAUGAAUCUGACUGUGACAUAAGAGGGUCUUCAUCUUGUGAAUCUGUGCUUUCUCUCAACACUGAAAAAAUUCUGAGCCAAGCAAAGUCACUUGCAGAACAAAAAAGGUUUCCAUUUGCUACUGAUAAUGACAACACAAACGAAGAGCUGGCAAUUGCUUAUGUGUUGAUUGGCAACGGCCUGUAUGAUGAAGCCAUACGACAUUUUUCAACAAUGCUGCAGGUAG